CGCGUAGGUGGUUUGUUAAGUUGGAUGUGAAAGUCCCGGGCUCAACCUGGGAACUGCAUCCAAAACUGGCAAGCUAGAGUACGGUAGAGGGUGGUGGAAUUUCCUGUGUAGCGGUGAAAUGCGUAGAUAUAGGAAGGAACACCAGUGGCGAAGGCGACCACCUGGACUGAUACUGACACUGAGGUGCGAAAGCGUGGGGAGCAAACA
rnacentral:rRNA from 1 species